UUUACAGAUGGGGAAAUUGAAGCAAACAGAAUUAAGUGAUCUGCUCAGGAUCACACAGCUAGGAAGUGUCUGAAGAUUUGAACUCGGGUAGCGGAGUCUCCAGGCUUGGUACUCUGUGCACUAUGGCGCCAUCUAGCUGCCCUCUCUUGCUGGCUCCCUUCAUACCUCUACCUUUCAUUACACAAUUAAGCUAUUUCUCUCAGUCCUUCCAGCUUUAGAAAGAUCCUCUUUUUUUCAAUCCCAGUUGCCCCUCCCCACCUUGAUUUAAAUGUAAACUUCCAUCCUCAAAGUGAUCCGGACCUUGGCUUGGACAUACCCUGGGUCCUGCUGUGGGGUUUCUCUGCUCCGUCCUGCCUAUUCCGGGCACAGCCCACUGCAUGGUAGAGAAAGGAUUCUGGAUUUCUGUGCCUCUGGAUGGAGACAAAGACUUAAGGAGAAGGUGAUGGACCAGAAAUGUGGAUCAGCUCCUGAAAGUCAACUGCUAAAUUUUCAGUGUGAGCGCUUACUCACAUUGGGCAUUGGAGAAUAUGACAGAUCGGGGCUCUGUUUGUUGUUUUGUUGAUUGUCUAGACUUGAGAAAGUGACAGAGGAAAAUGCUGAAUGUGGGUUAAAUCAAAAGUGCCAGGUGCAUUUGCAGAGGGGAUUGGUGACAAUUUACCAGCACUCUGUGGGUAGUGCAGGGCCUUCUCCUCCAACCAGACAGCCCUCCUCUGGUAUUGUGGUGGGCUCUUGGCAUCGGCUGCUGUUGGAAGGGAUACUGAAAUAUUGCAGUAUUGGAUUAAAGAGGUCUGGAUACCAUGUGUAAGGAAUUGAGGGUGUUACUCAGAAGAGAAUGAGGAGGGAAGGCUGGCCUUCUGGUGCAUCUGAAGGCCUACCAUAUGGAAGAAGAAUUUCACUUUUAGGCUUGGUCCCAGAGAGGGAUGUCUAGGGUUAAUUUCAGUAUAAAGAAAAGAAAAAAAACAAUUUCCUAACAAUUCGAGUCUGAUUAUAGAAUGGGCUUUUUGACUGUAAGCUCCAUGAGGACAGUUUUUAUCUUAUCUAAUACUCUCCUAAUAUUUACCUUAGACCCAAUUGUGGAGUAAGUUCUAAUGCCGCUCAUUCCUGCAGCUGACACUCAAAUUUUCUCAAAGCUUCUUAAGCACUUUCAUUAGUCCUUUCUUUGUCCCUAUUCCCAUUGAUCAUCUGGAGCUCCCUUCCUUCUGUCCUUGAUUCAUUUUUAAAAUCAUUUUAAAAAUCAAUGUUUUAAAGUAUAUGUUGGUGUGUAUGUUUUGUGUCUGUUUUUAUAUGUAUGAAAAAAUGUUUUGUUUUUAUACAAUAAACCUCUUUAACAUGU